rnacentral:rRNA from 1 species
CAGCACCUCAAGUGGUCAGGAUGAUUAUUGGGCCUAAAGCAUCCGUAACCGGCGCUGUAAGUUUUCGGUUAAAUCUGUACGCUCAACGUACAGGCUGCCGGGAAUACUGCAGCGCUAGGGAGUGGGAGAGGUAGACGGUACUCGGUAGGAAGGGGUAAAAUCCUUUGAUCUAUUGAUGACCACCUGUGGCGAAGGCGGUCUACCAGAACACGUCCGACGGUGAGGGAUGAAAGCUGGGGGAGCAAACCAGAUUAGAGACCCGAGUAGUCC